AUGGCAGUGGGAAAUCCUCAUUAUGGGAGAUAUUUCCAUUCUGUACUCACCCAUGAGAGCUUUGCUAGGGCAACCACAGGGAAAGCAGGACACACAGCCAUCAGCAUUCCUGAGCCCUGCCAGCCUGCACUGCUGACUCACAAGGCAGCCUUGAGUGAGUCACUCAUUGCCAGAUGCUUCCACCUGACCUUGUCAAAGUGCUGCAAACAAGGAAGCAAAACAGACUCACCUUUGGCAACUCUGGCAAACAAGUUUUAUCAUGUCGUAUUCGAGCUUCCCCCACACCACCAGAGACAACAACAAUGAAACAUACAAACGAAAGAAAAGAAAAGAAAAAAGAAAACUUUGGCUUUGAGAAGACUGAAACUAAUUCAAAAGACAGUUACCUGUAUUAAUACUGUGAGUAUUAAAAAUUUUACUGUAAACCUCUGACAUUUUUUGUUCUUAUUAACCCCCAGCUCUGACAAGCAAUGACUUUGUGAAAUUCUUUGCAUCUUCUCAUGCAAAACAAGUAUUUGCAGUGUUUAAAGCUUCCUAGCUAUGGAACUUAAAAACACAAAUGUAAAGAGCUGCCUUUUGGGGGGCCUGCUGAUUUUAGGGGGAAUUAAUCAUGAUUUUUGCAGAUUUGGGCUUCCCUCUCAAGAAAAGAGAAGAAAAAAAGUAGUCAAGCUCUUCUUUGACAUGAUGCAAUGAAUAGCGGUCAGAAUGAUGAAUUUAAUUUUGCUUCCCAUGUUUCAGAACUUACUAACGCAAGCUGGCUACUUCCAGACUCAGAUGUCCAUUCCACAGCACCUUAUCACUCCAGGAAAUACCCUGGGGCUGCCUGGACUUCCUUUUCACUGACUUCCACUUCCCCCCACAGCAGUGCCUGUAGGGAUAUGGCACCAGACAUACUCCCCCUUCCCUACCUCUGGACAACAAACCUUUCCCCCCACCCUGGUCCUGUGCUCAGAGCCCCAUGAGGGCCCCUGAACAUUCCCCCGUACAUCCCCUGUGCAGGAGAGAGGGCUUUCUGUUCAUCCAAGGCAUUCGCAACACGAGUGCUUUCAGCUCUGAGCAAAGGAAACCAAGGCAAGCCAGGUCUUAGGAGAUGGGGCUGCACGACUUUGCACCCCCUGCUACCUCCUGCUGAGAUACUCAGCAUCUGGUCCAUGCCCCAAAGGAUCAGCGAGGCACAGGAUGGCACAGCCAGCAGCAAAAGGGCUUUCGGUGCGAUUGCGGCAAACUAUGGUCGGACCUCGAAGCUGCCGUGAAAUCUCCUCAAUCUCCUGCCUUUUUGGGGGACUUCAGGUCCUGAAGCUGCCUGUAAUACUGAUUUCUAUGAAAUGCCACUAGGUGGCUCGAGAUUGAACCUCUGCAGGCAACAGCUUUCAGUGGGAUGCGCGUGUGUGGGGGGCAGGAAUUUGGGAAUUAUCCUUGGGCGGUGCGCACCACCCUCAUCGCUUCUGUGAUUUUUAGAUCUUGGUUGCAGAUGCUGUAGGAGAGAAAGGGGCAUCCCAGAAAACCCUCUGAAAUGGGAACGAGUUCAUUCUUAUUUCUCACGUGAAAUGAAACACGGAGUUUUCUCUUGAGAAUUGGAACUAGCGAUAGCCUGGAGCCUAGUAGUACUCCCCGGAAUACCAGUGACAGCGCCGCCCCAAAUAAAAAUGUGGGUUAUUCUUCUCUUUUAAAAAUUUUCAAAGGCAAUUGUUACCAUCAUCAGGGGCUUAUUUUGACACGGGUUAGCUUUGAGAACCCACCACGAAUGAGAGGUCUGAAUCCAGCACUGGAGGAGAGAAGGGCUUCACGCUCAGAUGACAAGGGUGAUCACCACUGGCAUCAGUUUUAUGCCUGUCACCCUUCUAACCUCUUUCUCAGAGGUGCCCUGAAGUAAUUGGUUAAUCCCCAUUUCUCACUUCCCUCUAUACCAAACCUUUGUUUUCUGCCCAUCUUGUUCAUUCUCAUUCCAGGGUGCUGUGUGUCCCUCUUCCUCCCUGAUACCUGUCCAGGCAUCAGACCUGCGGUUUGGCACACACCCCCUGUGUGUGGGACCCUGGUGGGACAUCUCCCACCUGCCUCUCACCUGGAGCUGCCCCAGCUGCCUGGGGCGAUGUGAGAGGAUGCUGUGGGCAAGAGCCGGGAGGAGCAGGGAAGAUGAGAUGCACAGCUCAGCGCUGCCUGGAAAACCUCGCCCUGCUCCCUGGGAAGGCCAGGGCUGAGUUUGUCAGGGUGUCAACACCUCAAAGGCAAGGAGGAGGAGGGGGAAAGAGGAGAUAGAGACAUCGUUGAGCAAGAAGGUGCAAGUGGGUGCCAUCAGCCAGUUGUUUGAACUGUAAACAACUGCAGAGAUGCUGGGAGCUGUAGCUAUGCUAAACAGUUGGCCCAUCCCCCUCCUGUGUUGUUCCCAUUCCUCCUUCUCUCCUCCACAGUCAACAGGGCUUUGGCCAGAGAUACCUUCCCUGACACUUUGGAUUUGAUUGGAAAGCAAUGUAUAUCCUAUGACAGGCAGGCAGGUGAGCACAGCAACACCGGCAAGUUAAGCAUGUGGUAUCACAGGCCUUGACAGCAAGUCAAAUAUAUCCCCCCACUCCCUUACAGGCCUUAAGAAUUCCUCAUUUAGGGCCAGAGACAGCAAAGGUGAGCAACAACAAAACACUCACCUGGCUCUUCUGGGCUACAGCAUGGGGCAGUUUCAUUUGGCUUCUGCACAGCAGCUACCAGAGCUCCUGCUAACCAUCGACAAAUUAGUCUUGUUUUAAAAUGUAAAAAUACACUUAUUCCCAACUUUGCUUUUAUUGAGAGAAAAGGGAUAAAAAACUAAUUCAUAAGCCCCACCUAAAGCCUCUUCCCCAGUGUUGGCUCUGCCUCAGCCUCCCUCCCCACAAACAUUACCUGCCUUUCCCCCAGAGGGCUCCUCCUGUCUUCCUCAUUUUUAGGGUGGAGGCUAAUAAGCUCCCCAACCCUGGUAAAUCAGUAUUAAUUAACCUGCAGAUCCCUGCAGGCUUCCAACACCUGCUAACUGAGAGAAUCUAGCCAGGCUCUCACGGUGCCUUUUUUUUUCUUUUUUUUUUUUGCACACAGCAAGAUUUAGCAUUUGGAAUAAGGGAAGGUUAUAAGCUCUUGCUUUGCCUGGGUGGUUUACAGUGAGGGAGGGAAAAAAAGGGGAAAAAUGAUAUUUCAUAGAGUCUGUUUUCUUGCUUUUCUUUUUUUUUUUUUUUUGUUUUCCUUUUAAUUUAGACCAGCAACCUUUUGCAUGGGAGGGGCAUCUGCUAAGAAGCAGCUCUGCUACAUGCCAUUACCAUCUUUCUGAGGCUGGGGGAGGCACUUUUAGCUGAGUUCUGCCUCUCUGCUAAUGGGCACCCCUCUCUGCUGGCUGGUGGCUGCCAUCUGUGGCAAAUAUUGUAGAGCAUGUAGUCAAUCACUGCAGGAUGCAGUUAUCUGGUGAAACAGCUCUCUAGGGACUGAUUUAGGACCACUAUAGUAAGGCCAGUUGGAACUAAUUGGAUUUUUUUCCCCCCCAACCUGGGUUUCCAGAUGUGACAGGGCAGCAUAGCUUUACUAACCUAGCCAUGUUCAUCCAUGCUCCCUGUUACAGAGGAAGAGAUUUCUUCUUUUUUUCCCUUGGUGUUGAAUCACAGCUUAGUGGGGGGUGUUUCCUGCCGGUUCCUGAACAAGAGCCAAGUGGCCUUCCUUUUCUGCUGGAAUUUUACAGCAUGCACUGAAUAGGGGUGCCACCCUCUUGAAUGCUGGCAAUUUUUAUUUCAGUGAGCACUUCUUGCUAUCUCCACCAAUCCAUGAGUCAUUUUCAGUGGACUAGGAAAACCAGAAAAAAAAAAAUCCCUGGCAAUAUUCUUCAGUGACCCAUUUAGGUGGCUAAAGCUUUUACAAAUGUCCCCUCACAGCUAACAGGACACUGGUAAAUAGCUUGUGUGCAGAAGAAUGAAGAUGGUGUUUUGCUGGGUCACAAGAGCCUUGGCUGCUAACGGAGAAUUGCCACCAUCCACCUCUUCCUUGCCCAGGUGCUCGGCUCCAUCUUGGUGCCAACUUUGGGGCUCUCUGGGUCAUUUCACCAUUCCGACCAGAUGGAAACACAGAGCUAUUUCCUGUUAGUGCUUUGGCCCAAAAGCAGUUGGGCCACAAGGGAGAAGUGGGCCCACCUGGUUGGGAAGAUGUUUGAUCAC
rnacentral:lncRNA from 13 species